UACACAUCUCUCACCCAUGUGGAAUGCCCGAGAAUCGGACUCGCACUACCCCCUACGGAGAGUAUAGAAUUGGAAAGUUUAUAUUCGGUGUGGAGGUGUCGUCGUAACAUUCUGUCUCGCGGUCUGGACCCAGCUCGUGGCACACGGCAUGAAACUAUUAUAACAGCACGUUUUGUUCGUAAAUGUUUGGUUUAGAUCUCCUGCCUUCAUACACAGGGAGCCAGAGUCGCUGCAUUAUUAGACUACUGCGUCGUUGGAUCAGAAAUUUUGCCGGAAGCUCGACAGACUAAUUAAGGCUGAUGCAUUAUUAUCACAUAAAAAAAUGACUGCCAUUAAAAAAAGGAUGCCAGUUCAUUACGCUGCAUUUUACUAAUAAACACUUUUACUCUUAGGCUAAUUAUUUCUAUUCUAUCAAUAUUCAUCACGUGCUGGGAGUAUUUAUAAAUUUUGAACCGUUAUGAGUCAGAACAUUAUACAAGGUAGCGCUCUCCUUCAUUCUAUUGUUAGUGGUGUGAAGACUUCAUUGCUCAGCGUGACGUGUCUCGGAAGAAGAAGAAGAAGCUACCUUUCCAGCGUCGUUGGGGAUAGAAGCCGCCGGGUAAAGAGCACUGAAAGAGGCGAGUGUUGCGGUCGAGCCUUCUGGUUUCAACAACAUUUACUUGAUUCACCAGCUGGAGGAGAAUGUCUGCCUAAGGGCAUGGUGACGCAAGCUGAGAGCCAUCAGCCCCCAUAUUUGAAGCCCAGGGCAUAUGGUUAACCUGGGAAGACCUCGUGGCAGUGAUGCACCAGAGGACAGGUAACCCCCUCUACCGGGAUGCUUGCACACCAUCUCCGAAGUCAUUAAAGGCCAGAGCACCAGACAAACAAGCUUAAAACCUUUCAAGCACCCCUUGAACGUAGUCCGACAUCGGUUGGGCUCCUUGCUCCCUCUGAGCUACUUCCUUGAGAAGUUGGCUGUUUGCUAGCCAACUAGAUCUUUCCUGUAAAUUAACAUUUCUCUCCCUUGCCAUCACCCCUGAGGAUGGCAACUAUAACUUCUACGGAUGGUAAUGUGCUAAUUCUAAGGUUACUGGCUGUUAUAAAUUCAUGUACUCCAAGAUCUAUAUCAUUGUUAUUUGUAACCUUUUUCACGGGGUCCUUAUGUUCCCCUCAAACCCAAACGGUAUAAUCUUUUUUUCUUCUGAUGUGAUUAAAAUUGUAAAUAUAAUCAAUUACAUUAACCCUUAGUGUUUACCCAACUAUUAACCAAUCUGAAGGAGGCACUCAGCCAUAAUUUUGUGUAUGACUGCUCCCAUUGUCAAAGCUAUUGUUUGAUCAGCAUCAUUUUCUCAUCCUCAAUUGUACACUCCCAGGUACAAUCAUGUUAGUGGCGACCUUGUCAGGAUCUUGUUGUUGCCCCUUAUUGCAAACUCCUUGCAAGUAACUAUCAGCAAAUAGCAAUUGCUAAGAGCUGUUUGUUUGCAAGAGAAAAUAUGAACCAGAAAGGACAAGCGUAAAGUUAACUUUACAAGCACACGAAGGAACCAGUUUCCACAGUAAGUGUUAUUUUGUGUAGUAAGCAUUUUAUGUCAGCUGUGAUCAAAUUUCGUGACUGCUAGAAAAAUAAAAAUUGGAAUAUCUUUGGCCAAAUGGAUGCCAAAUUAGCCACCGCAAAGAGAGAGUUAUUAACCAAAUAUAUCAGGUUUUGAUAGCUACUGCAUGACAGUUCAUAUGCCAUUCAUACUAGUUGAGCUAGAAAGUUUGUUAAAAGGAAAUAGUGCCCAUGUUUCCUUUGCCAGUUGUAUCUCAGGAAUUUUCAUGCCUCCAAGUAGCCAAAACUUAGCUAGCCACAUGUGAGAAACGACAAGGUUUUGUAUCCAGCCCUUAUCUCCACAUUGCUAGAUUCCUCUCUCUCUCUCUCUCUCUCUCUCUUGCUAGGUAGAAAUUGGGAGAUCACGUACCUUUUAUCAUUUCCUUCGAUAAAGGUUCUAUUCAGUCAAGUGAUUUCGGCCUAUGUAGGCAUGGUAAGAACAACAUUAGGAAUUACGAUUCCCCUUAACAUAGUAAUAAAUUCCGAGAUGCGGUCAUUCAUGAGUGAAAAAACCCCAUCCUUUUGUUUACUCCAAUAAUGCCAAGUAAGCCUCAUCCUUCAUUCAUUCACAGGGAAAAUUCCCCUACCAAGUGGUUGUAAACAAUCAGAGUACUACACGCAGGUGUUCGUGGUAAAUACAGCUGCCUCGCAGACCGCGCAGUUGCCAGCAAUUGAUAUACCCAUAUGGAAACUCCCUCAUCUUUAGGUAGGAAUAGGAAAGGUUACAUGAUAGGCUUUUGUCAAAUCGAAUCCAUCACUCCCUUGUGGGAAAUAUUAAGUAGUUAGAAUCUGUGCAUGUGUGCAUAACACACAAUCCAGUAUUGCAUUUACUUUAGCGAGGAGAAUAUUUAUUAUCCAUUACUGUAUUCCUGAAGCAGAGCACUUCCCGUUUUACCAUUAUCAUUAUAUAUUUACUACACAAAGCUUACAACCUAUUGUGCCGUUAGGUAUUUGUUCAAAGCCCUAAUUCAUUGUAAUCUUGUGUUAUGAGUUGUGCAUAUCAAAUUCCAUUCCAAGGCCUCAAGCCUAUCAAUUCCAAGGCUUCUGUGCCUUCCACUCAAAGGCCUCAUGCCUGCCCAUUCCAAGGUUUCAAUACCUUCCAUUCCAAAGCCUUGUGCCUGCCAUUCAAAGGCUUCCAUUCUAAGGCCUUGUGCCUGUCAAUUCCAAGGCUUCCAUGCCAUUCCAAGGCCUCAUUCCUGCUAAUUCAAAGGAUUCCAUGCCUUCCAUUCCAAGUCCUCAUGCCUGCCAAUGAGCCUGCCAUUCCUAGCCUCAGAGAAUAUAUAUGAAUUUGUGCAUGCAUGCACAUAUAUACAUGCACAUAUUAAACUAUAUGGUGGCUUAGUAUUUGAUUCCAAGGCCCCUGUGUCUGCCAUUCCCAACCCCCGUGUCUUCCACUCCAAGGUUUUCAUGCCUGCCAUUCCCAAGUCCUUGUUAAAUGAAAUAAAAACUACUGAGGCGACAGGGCUGCAAUUUGGUAUGUUUGACGAUUGGAGAGUGGAUGAUCAAACGUACCAAUUUGCAUUUGAAGGCUUUGCCCAACUUUCAUUUUCGGGCUUUCAAGACGACUAUCAGUUCCCUUUUGGGACCAGCAUAUGUCCUUACCUGACCAGAUUAUAAACUCUUAACCACACCAGCAUCCAAGUCAUCCUCAAGGAGCAGUGUCACGUCACCACAACGUAGAACCUCACAGAAAGCUCCAGUUAAAUCCCAAAAGGGGAACUCUCAAACCCAGAAUGCCUCUAAACCUUGGGCAAGGAACAACAGGCCUGUUUUCUCAUUUGGGACAGUGCCAAGGAUGGAUUACAGCAGCAGUUAUUGCACUGCAUUCAAGGUGUAUGGACACACCUCUUCAUGGGCAAAAUGCCCUAAUAAAUCAGCUACUCCAGCCACUGCCAUAGCAGCUACAAGCCUUCAUCAUUAGGCCCUCCAUCUAAGGGUCCUAUCUUUGUGGCACCUCAUCGAGGUGCCUAUCCUGCUCGCCAGGUCAAAGCAAUUGAAGACUAUGGUGCUCAAAUGUCUAUUAUACAGGAACACAGCAACCCCUAUUGAACUAAGGUUAGUCAGCACAAGCUUGUCCAAUUGAGAGCCUCAACCCCCUAAAGAUGCUUCUCCCUACAGUUCAGUCGAGGUUCAAAAGACCUCAUCAAUCUAAAAUAUGUACACUGGUGGUAGCAACUUAGUAUAUUCCUGAAGGUUAUGAUGUCUCCUGAAAAUCCCCUUCUAAGUUUUGACAUUCCAAACCUACCUUUAAAUCACUGCUAGUGCCAUUUGAGGGUCCUGGACAGUGCCAUGCUCCACCCAUCAUGGACUUUAAGCCGAUCUCAGAUCCCCUUCCUUUACCUGCAACUGCCAAGCAAGACUUAAAUCUCCACGAAGCUCAGGCCGCUUCUCACCUCCUGGUUUGGCCCCGUUACUAGUGCUGGUGGGAGGGGACAAACUAGUUCCAUUAAGAACUCCCCAAGAUCCUCAUGACCACAGGAAAGCUCACCCAAAGGUGCAGCCUUGCAACGUGUGCCUGAGUCUGUCGCACCAACUUGUGAGUUGACAAAACUAAUGAUAACCUCUUCCUCUUCUUCCCCUUUUUCAAGCUGACCAGUUCUUGAGUAAGGACUCUGCCAAAUCAAACUUGGCUGUCGAACUGAAGGAACAGAGACGAACUUAAGGAACAGAGACAAUUUAUGUUGUCGCAGCAACCGGAGCAGCUGGCAUUCAAAAAACCUCUAAUAUUGCUUGUACCUGAGUAUUUGUAGUUUUAUCAAAAUAUUGCGAAUAGGUGAAUUUUUCACAAAGAAUGGGUAUACACUGCCCAUAGAAAAAUCCACGAAUAGAGGAGAGUCCAUGAAUCAUGAGUCUGCAAAUAGCAGGGGUCGACUGUAUACCUUUCCCUUUUUGGGUAUUAACAAAUAAUAUAAAUUCAUGUGAAUUUCACUCUUUCAGUUCAGUUAAAACCCACGUCAGUGGUAAUGUGCUACUCGUUUUCAUGUUGAUAAGUGUCACCUGACAUGUGUAACUGUUAGUGCCUAGUCACGGCACAGUGCUGUCAUUUAAGUACCAUGUUAAUAGAAUAUCAUAUCAGUGGUCCAAAGAAGGAGUAAGAUACUCACUUCCCUUGAUUUAUCUUUUUUUGUUAACAUGUAGAGUACGUCUCACUCAGUACUGUGUACUGUGUGGUUAGAGUAAUCAUUUAUUAUUUGGCACUUACCAUUGCAAUGCCCAUAUGGCACGAAAGCUAUCGCUUGUAACAAUCAUGAGAUAACCUAACAAAUCCACGAACAUUUUGUAAUGAUUCUUCAAGGCCAACUAAUAGCAUGACCUUGUAAUGCAGCAUAGAAUUAAAUUUGUAUUGCAUGAUAAGGUUAAGUUAUCGAAAACAACCUUUUAGUCCAAGGCAUAUUCUAGUUACAAAGUAAGCAAACCUGUUUCAUAAUUGAUUAGCUGUACGCUGCUGACAUUUUAAAUUAAUAUUGCAUAAUAUGAUCUUUUCAAAUAUUCUUCAUUGCAUUUUUGCAGUCAUACUAAUUUAUACACUUUAUAAAUUCAUAGCAGCAGUUAAAUUUUAUACUGCCUGCGAGUAGAGUAAGAGACAAUAUUAAUGUCAUGAAAAUUUAAUUUCUGCAGAUACUUUUGUUCAUAUUCCUUGUUGAAUUGUUACUUUGAAGGUUGUGGAACUGAGUUAAUUAUCAUCCUCGAUGGCUACUUUCUCCAUUCCAACCAAUUAAUAUAAAGUAAGGAGGCCCAGAUGAAAGUAAAUACUCUCAUUUUCUCAUUCAUAAUAAAGAUACAAGCGAAUUCGCUACUAUCUCUCUCUCACUCACCACUUCCUUUAAUUUAAUCACAUUGUGUUUCCUUGGCUGCUGGAGCCUUGUUUUGAAGAUUCACCGACUGGGAGAGAAAGUCUGCCUUAGGGCAUGCCGACACUUAAAAGCCCUGGCCACAUGUUUAACCUAAGAAGUCCUUGUAGCAGAGAUGAGGCAGAGGACAGAUAACUCUCUCUACCAGGAUGCUUGUGCAUCAUCCUCAAAGUAAUAAAAGGCCAGAGUACCAGUCAAACGACCUUAGAACCUUUCACGUGCUCCUCGAACGCAGUCCGACCUUGGCAACGUUGGGCUCCAUGCUCCCUAUGAGUUACUCCCUUGAGGAGGUGGCUGUUUGCUAGCCAAUGUGGUCUUUACUGUGCAUAACGUCUCUCUCCUCUGCCAGCACCCCUGAGGAAGACAACUACAACUUCUACAGAAGCUUCGUGACAGCAUACCGAAGAUUUUGAAGUUGGCUUUGCUGCCGCUCGAGUCUUGACUCAACAUAUCGGACUGCACUGGGGUGUUGUCAUUUCGUCUCCUACAGCCAAUAAAUAAUACAUCAAGGCGUUAACAUUCUUUGAAAACGAUGUUUACUUAAACUAAUUUUGUCCUUUGAUCAAUAAAAUAAUUUGCAUGACACAUUUAGUGGGCCUAAAUUGGACUUCUGAUUUUCCCACAUGAUUAGCCUAGGCCUAUUUUCAGCAGCAUACU